AAUAAAUUUGCUGAAUUCACAGUGCAGGUGAAGUAUGAGCAUCUAAUAAUCUCUUCAUGUUCCAGCACAGAGAAAGGAAAGCUAAGCUUAAUAAAGUCACAAACCCCACAAUUUCUUAGAAACCAUGGUCUGAAUUCUGCCUCAGGAAAUGACAAGCCUACUACUCACCUACCAUGAACAAAAAUAAGAAACACCUGUUGUCUCUUUGUUCUUAACUUAAUUUACUCCCUCUGGCCACAUUUGCUCUCUUGCUUUCUUCUGGAGAGGUGGCAGGAGCAGAAGUUAAGUCCUUCUAGCAUUUUUGAUGAAAGAAGUAGGGCUUCUGCUGAGGCAGAACAAGAACGACCACAGAGAUGUGUGUCCACCGUGAGCUCCUCUGAAUGGGCUGAGCAUGAAGAGACCCUGAAGCAAUGUUUCACUGGAAUCUGCAGGUCUGUUGUGUGACAGUGUCUCUGUUCUCUGUAUCUGCCAUUGCUAUUGUUCUGAUGCCUCAUCCUUGCAGCUGAAAUACCCGAUUCCGAUGAAUUUCUCAGUUUCCUGGCUCAAUAAAACAGCUCCUUUAUUAGUGGUUAGGAAUGCUUCUGGUGGGGGAGCAGGGAAAGAAAGCAAGCCUUUGCAUAGAUUAGCUAUACAAUUAGCAAGAGCAGAUAUCUUAAGUUAUGUUGAGGCAGGAAAUAGGGCUUGUGUUGGGGAAGGCCUGCCUUCUUAUAUACAGCAAAGGGUAAACGCCAAGGGAGUUAAAUCUGCCCCUGGUGUUAGGGGAAAGGCCUAGAUUAUACAUUUUUUUUUUUUAGAUGUCUCUGUUCUGUCCAAGUCUGUUGUGUAUUUGACCUUUUACAAAAAUGAACAGUAGACAUUGCCCAAAGUCUGGAGGAACAAAAUGAGGCUUAUUUAGAGCUCACUGAAGGAAGAGUUUCAACAUUUUUCAUAAUCAAAUGUAUGUUAUAGCUGGAUUGCCAGCUGGAAAUUUUGGAGAUGUGAAAACUGAAUUUAGUACACUCUAGGUUAAGAUGGCUUCUCCAAAAAGAAAAAAAAAAAAAACCACACUUAUAAACACCAUUAUUAAUACUUAAGACAGAUGAAAAUGAGUCAGUUGACACCAAGUCUCACUUAGUGGACCCAACUGCUUUCUGCUGAUCAGCUCUUGCUACAUCUCUGAUGCUAUCUCAAAGGUUCACAUUUACUGCAAUAUUAGUGGUUUCAAGGGCAGAGGUAUCUUGUUCACUUGUUGUAGUGGACGAUAUAAAACCACAAAAUAAAAAUACUUAACAGCCAACCAGGACUGCCUUUUGAACAAGUGAGAUCUGAAUAUCCAUUUCCCCACAGUGUGUGCCAUCAUUCACGUCAGUAUGAAGUGAUGUAAAAGAAAAUCAGAAGUGCAGGGUCAGGAACUAUGCAAAAUAGGGUGUUACUAUGAUUUUUACUACUCUAGACAAUGAAAUAAAGCAUUGCUUCCUCCAUAAGGCUCAAAGAAACACUGGAGGCUGCAAUAUAUAGUUUUGCAUGGCUUCAUACAGGCUCUGAAGCAAUGACAAAGAUUUUCCUACCCUUAUGUAAUGUGCGUUUUUAAAAAUGAAAUAAAAUAGAAUACCUCUUCCCCUUUCAGCAGCAUUAUAGUUGCGUUGUUCCUAGCUGUGAGUAGUAUACCUUAACAACAGGCACAUGGAGUUAUGUACACUACUCUUGACUUGCUAGGGAUGACAAGAGAGGUGUUCCCUGCUUUAUCUUGUGACCAGCAGGAUCCCGUGCAGGGCACAGACCACCGCCACGAACAGGACAAGGUAGCAACGAGCCAAGACCUUGCACCUUCAAGAACCUGCUGUUAAAAUGCUGGUUGUGUAUCCAUGUCUAAUUCCUGUCUUGGGUUUUUUCUGAGUUGUCUACCCUUGUUCUCACCAGGCUUGCAAGACCCUCCUCUGGCAGAGUGCACAGCUCCUGUGUGCUCUGCUGUUCUCUGCCUGUGCAGCCAAGCAAGCGCUGGUGUGGCUGAGCAGCUGCUUAUUUGCCUAACUCGCUAGCAAAUGCUCAGGGGGCAUUUCUUAAUGUUCUGCGUGUUGGUCACAAUUGAUUUGUUAAUUAGCAUAGUGGUGGGAAGCAAGGAUCAGUGGUUUUGUUUUUCUGUCUCUCUUCCACUAACUUGCUUUUUGCUUCAGGUAAAUGAUCUGAGCUCUGUCUGCAUCCUCAUUCCUGUAAAACAGGAGUUGAUAAUACCUACCAAGGAGCUGUUUGUGAACAUUGCUGAGCUCCUUAGCAUCCUCAGCAGGAGGCAGCAUAGAAGCAUACAGUCAACAAAAUUUCAAAACAACCCAGUUUAAAAUAGUUUCAAAAACCUUGUGCUAGCCCCACAGUAGCUUACAGUCCUCUCCUGAUGGUUCCACCAGUGCUUUAAGAAGUUGCAGCCAAAGGUUUUUUCUGGCCCUCCUCUCCCCAGUCAUUGUUCCCAUAUGCUUUGUGAAAACUCAUGCUAGUGAAAACUAACCACUUCAUUUGUAUUUUUUCAGGUUAAUUUUCAGCAGAAGUUCCCUGAUCUAACUGGCCACAUAGUUUCAUGACUGCUCAUGCUUAGAGAAAAGACACAGUAGAACACACAUGUGAGUAGAGGUAGGGCUGCCUCUUUCAGUUGCAGCAUGCGUUUAGAUUAGCUUAAAUUCAUUGGGAAAACCAAGUUUUGGUGAAGCUUCUCCAGUUAAUGGUAGAUACCUCAAAAGGCUCGUUAAGGUUAGGUUACCCCACAAUGUUUUGAUUAACCUUGCUUCUUAACACACAGAUAAAAAUUUGAUCCUAUGAGUUAGCUGAAAUUUGGUGACCCACUAUGUUUAGGAAACAAUUAUUUACAGAAAUCCUAUAGUCAGCUUUUUCCUGACUAUCUGGUGUGAGGUAGCAGAAGGGAAGCAUGUCUAGCUUGUGCUCUGACGCAGUCAUCUUUGUAUCGCUGUCUGAGCUGUGGCCUUCCAGGGAAGGAGCAAGCUUGGUAUCUCAGCCCUGUGCUCUGCCUGAGCUCAUUAAAAGCUAUGACUCAGCUGAGGUCUUCUGUAAUCCCCAGGUGAAGCAGAAGAUAAACGGGAUAUCCAAGUUUGUGAAAGCCAUGGAGUUAAGGGACUUCUCUGGGAUAGUGACAGACUUCACUUAACACCUUGGAGACAUAGUAAAGUAAGUUAAACAGAGUAUCAAGAACGUCUUACACAGUUUUCUCUACUGUAGAGAAUCCCACUCCCAGAUAACAAGGUAGUACAAGCUGAGUACUUGAGUCAGCAUUCCUGGCUGCUACAGUAAAAAUCUAGUAACAGUCCCAUUACACAAAGUGGUCUUCCUGUUUUAAAAGAUGAGAAAAUCAUUAAAUUGUCAUGUUCGUUACUGAUGUAUCUUACACUUUCAGAUUUUUUUUUGUUUAAAAGUCUACAUCCCAACAGCAAUGGACAAUCUGCAUCAUAAAGUAAUGCACCAUUAAACAUAUGUAAAUGUGGAGAAAAUAUUUAAAUGCUAAGAGGUUUCUGAAAAGGAAAUUGAUAUGAUGUGUUUAAUAAGUGUCCUAAUCUAAAUAAGAUGCUAAUGACCAUUUCCUAAUAAGGUAAGAGAGAGUGCUAGGAGGUGUUCUUUUAUUUUUGUUCCAAAUGAAUCGUUUAUCCUUUAGGUGCCUGUUUGAUGCUCACUAGCUUUUGUUCAGCAUACAGCUGUGAAUGCAGCUGCCUACAAUAAUGGUAGCUGGAAAGAAACAGUUCAGUGUUUGAUUAAAAAAACUAUGGUAGCUGCUGUUCCUGCUAAAACAGUUCCUAGGUGGUCAUGGCUGUUUUUUUAAUAGUUAAGUGUGUCCAUUAGUGUACAUAAGGAACAGCUAAAGGCAUUCAAUUACAUUGUUAACGGGCUAACCUUGUGUGACAGGACUAAUGUGGUCCUUGACCAAGAAUUGAUUUACUUCAGGUUCUCUUCAGAUUUCAAAAAAAAAGUACAAAGUAUUAGAAGAUGGCAAUUAGAGCAACAGUUGGUAGCUUUUCACUGAAGUUUAAAGAAAUUACACUCCACUGAAAAAUGUCCAGUGGAUCUCAGAACUUUUCAAGUAGACAUUAAAAACAAACCGUGCUACUACUUUUGGCUUUACCAGAGUAAGUCUGUAGUAAAAUUAUCAAAGCCACUGCUUAGGAAGCAUAGGCAAAUACAUCAGUUUUGGAGUACGCUUUUCCGCUGUGCGGAGUAGUUCUCUAAUACAACUGGAAUUACAUGGCCCCAGAUGUCCAGCUUCAGCAAGAAGUUCAAAAAUUGCAUUUUACUUUGUAAUUGCCAGGAGACCCUACCAAGUCUCCCAAAGUAUGCAAAUCCUACUCAAACUUAUUUUUACAAUAUUUUGUUCCCUUUUCUGUAGGCAUCUGAUGGGAAGAAAGUACGCCCAGAUAAAAGGUCAUCUUAAAGUGACCUUUGAAAAACUGCAAGAUGCUCUUGUUUCUUUGGUAUGAUGUCAUAAGGUCAGGUUUUAGUCCUGAAUGAAGACACUGGAAAGCCAGUUUGAUUAAUGGUUGGUUGUGUUAUUCUUUUACUUUUUGAUGGUUAACUUUCUUGGUUGGGAAAUAUAGUGUCUCCCCUGGGAGCUUCAGACAGAAAGUGCUCUGACAGAAAAAUACACCGAAUCCUGUAGGUAGUAGUUUUUUUGCACAGGUAAAAAUGUGUGGAGAGAUGAAUCAGUAGAGUAGCUGAUGUGUGGUGGUGGGUUUUUUGAGUUGGUUGAUGUGUGUGUUUGUUUUCAGAAACUUGAACACAAGGCACGGGUUUCUUUUUGUUUUCUUUCUUUUAAAGCAGCUUAUUCAGCUGUGAAGACGUGGGGUUGCUGUUUAAUUAGCUGUUUAGAAUUGUACGCUUUGCAUAAUCACUAUUUGACUCUGAAAAAAAGGAAGUUCAGACUAUUUGUUACUCAACUAAAACAAUCUAAAAGGUGAAUCAUACUUUCCGAUUUCUCUUUGUUGUGCUGAAGUUUUGAGGUAACUCAUUCUUCCAGGGAAAGACAUUGACUUUUGCCUGAUGGGUUGUUAUUAUUUCAGUCUUAUGUAUAGUCUUAUCUUUCAAGUAGAAUUUCCCGUUGGUAGAAGGGGAUAUAUUCCAAGAUACUGGGACAUGAAUAGUUUAUUUGACUUGGGAGUGGUGAAAAGAAUAAGCUGUUAUGCGGUGUUAAAUAUAUAUAUAUAUAUAUAUAUAUAUGUGUACACACACACACACAUAUAUAUAUAUAAAUCAAACCACAAACUGACAAAUCUCAAAUAUGAAACACUCAAUUACACAGUCAUGUGUGAGAUUCUCCCAUAUAUAUACACAUACGUGCGUAUGUGUAUUUAUGUUCAUAACAACCUCCUUAAAAUGUUUUGCACUGGUUACUUUUUACACUGUAGUAGAACCCAAACAUGCUUGUCAAAGUCCUUAUUCUAUCAUAUAAGACCAGAAACAAAAAAACUUUUUCAAAAAUGUUUAAAUACAUAAAUUUAUUUUGUAACCAAUAGCAUAGCUAACUUCAGCAGCAGGAUUUGGGCCUGAUUGCCAUCUCUUUUGCUCUUGAUGGGGCUUUGGGUACUGGCACUUGCUGAAGAUGUGGACUGAGGCGGGGGGAUGUACGGGUGGUACUGUGUUGCAAGUACUUCAAGGUAGGUGCUCGUAAAGUGUCCAGCAAUAUUCCUGAAUUCCUGUUUUGACUGUUGUCUAUAGAUAUUGAUGCAAAGCUCCUUUCAUGACAAAGGCAGGAAGCUUUUAACAUGAAAACGGUCAAACUGUUGUCACAAUUCAAAGCAAAUAUAAGGCCUGGGUAGAAAUACAAUAUAAACAUUCCCAGGAGAGCUUCUUGCGACUUGUUAUGCAGAGCAAAGUUGGCACAGUGUCCCAUUUGCAACGCUAAAAAUCAAAUGAUUUUUUUUGUUUGUUGUUUUUAUAAUAUUUAAGUGACAUUUUAUUUGGUUUAAGAAUUGGCUGCUGACGCACAAGGCUUCUCUGUCCACUGAUUCACAUCAGACGAGCACUCUUUCUGUAGUCACAAGUGUCUGCUACACAGACUUGUUUUUGCAAUUGAAAAAUCAAUAGUUCAUUCAUGGCCAAGAUAAAGAGCUCAAACCCAUUACAAGAUUACCACCACUGUGAAGACUUCCAAUUGUAUUCGUACUAAAGGAGGAGGAGACUGAGAGUGUUUGCUACUUAUAAUUUGGUUUGCUGCCUAUUUUAUCUUUUUUUUAAUGUAUCUAUCACUGGGCUAUCUAAGUAACAAUAAACUACUUGCUCAAGUGUUAUACUAAAUAUUGCUUUCAAGAUAACUUAGUAUAAUGAAAACGAAACUUGUUUUGACGAUGAUAAAAAUGUUUGUUCAAUAAUUUCUACUGUAAUUCCCAAGUGAGCAAGCAGCCCAUGCAUUCAUGAAGAAAAACAAUGUCAUUAGUUGUUAUUCAAUAAUAUCUCACACCUGAAAAACACAAACUGCUGUCUAACUGAUUAAAUUAAUUUAUCUGCAGGAGGAAUCCGUAUAGGGGAGGGAAUGUACAAAAUCUCAGAAUAAAAUGAGCAAAUGUGUAAGAUUAAAGGGAAAGCCAUCAAUUUUGAAUUAGAUUACAGGUUAACAAAUCUUCAUAUUUGCAACAUACUAUAGGAAUAAUGGAAAUAGGCCAAAAUUGGCAAUCAUUUGUGUAUUUAAUCAAAUGUUUAAGAACUUUUUACCUCUUGCUGCCACCAUGGCAGUUACUGUUUCUUAAAUCGUAAAAACCUAUAGUCAUCUGUAGAACUUGGUUCUUUGCCUGAGUGUAUGGAUGAGAGGCUAUCAGAAAAAUAAUCAUUGUUAGCUCCUGCUAUGGUGAAUAUAUUGGUUGUUUGAAAGACCACAGUUCUAGACCUGGUAUUUUCUGCAGCCUGUUUCUCUCACUGCAUAGUCCUCAGCAAUCGCUGGGCUGUGUUUCCAUUUACCAUUUAUUAAGGGUCAAAUCUGAUUCACUUCUUCCUGCCUGACAUACAGCAACUGUGGCUGCUCCCCUGUUGGUGCGGCUGUACUCUAACCCAGCCUUCUGAAAUGAUCCAGUUACAAAGACUGCUGAAAAUAUUUUUGGCAUUUUUGCCUUUUCUAAUUGGUGUUUCAUGGAUUGAGAGCACUGUGUAGCUUUGGCUUGUUUUGCCUGGGCUCAGCACAGUUGUGCCAAUGGCAUCUUUGACACCGGUGUGAUCACAGCUUGUUCCAUAGCUUGUGGUAAGGUUUAGGUUUGACCAGUGAUGUGCAGGGUCCAGAAGGGGCCAGAAGAAAUGCUGAUAUUAGGGCUCUUUAUGUCUUAGGAAACACUGUACAGGGCAAAUCUCUGGGAAUGUCACCACAGAGCUGUCACUUUAAUCAAUCAUUGUGUUUCCCCUAUUACUUCAUAAACUUGCAACAGAAGGAGAACUUUUAAAACCCUUCAAUGAUGGGUGGCAUUUGCUUGCUUUUUAAUAUACUGCAGUUGCUUAUCUCUUGAAUUGUUACACAGUCUGAGCUUCUCAAAAACAAACAACAACAAACCAACCCCAGAAAGUAUAAAGAGAAAUGCACAGAACAGGGAAGAGUUAAUAAAGAUCCUUUCUAUCAUAACAGGUUGCAAUGCCGUGAGUCUGGAGCCCUUCUAGUGUCUCAGAAGAAGAACCUGACAUUGCGUUGGUUCUAGAACACCACCAUGUGAAGAUAGAGUAGAUGUCUGUGUAGUAGUUUGAUUACACAGCAAAAGCGGAAGUCAAGAUCCCACCUUAAAAACUGUCCUGCUGCUCCAAAAUCGUUUUACUUUGAAAAUAACAGUACUUUGCUGGAAACCAGUGCAUGCUGUUGCCUUGUGAAGAAUACUGCCAUUUUCACCAUGGGGGCAAAACCCCCUGUUUUUGUUAGUCAAUAUGGAUAAUCAGUGCUGUGAAUCAAGUUUACAGGUAGGUGAUGGUCCCCUAUAUGUCACUGAGGACGUCCAGAGUGUCCACCUCUCCUGACAGUCUAUGGCGUGUGGACUCUAGAGGGCAUGGAAGGUCUACUCAGCUAAAUUACUAGAUUCACUUUUCCAAUUAAGGUGAUGCUUUUAAUUUUAUUACUUUUUUAACCAGUUCUAUGAUCCUGAUUCAGGGCCCUUGUGUCCUUGCUCAGAAAAGCAUGUAAGAUAGUGUCAACUUUAAAGUUCUGCUUAAAUCCAACCAAGGUCAACUACAAUGAAGAAGCACCAGCUUAAUGGUUUCUUGGCUGUGCGCUGCUGUAGGACUCCCAGGGAUGCUAAUACAUGUUAAUUAAAACUUGUUAUCACCAGGCUAGCAAGACCGUUCACACGUUUUCCAGAGACACCACAGGAUUUAGGCUGUUGUCCUAAUUGCUAUUGUUCAGACUGCUGACUAUUAUAUUUACCACAAGCUGUUUUCAUCUUGUUGGGAGCCUGGUGCUAAACUGAAAAACAACACCUAUCUUAGCAAUUUGUUGCCUUCUGGAAGCUGAAGCAAUUACAACUGUAGUCUGCAGACAAGCUUUAUAUAGUGUAUGUAAAUUUUUGGCUGUGGUUCCAAUAGAUGGCUUUUAGGGAACCUUGUAGCUGAUUAGAAAUGCAGGGCUCUAUGACAUAAAGAACAACAUACAAUAUUUCUGUUUGGUGGUGGUUUUGGUGUGUUUUGUUUUGUUUUUUGUUUUGUUUUUUUCAAGUUAAACAUAGCUGAUUAACCAAGAUAUAUGUGAUCAUGCUUUUCAUGCCUGAUCACAUCUGAACUUAUCCUAUGAGACAGUGGAUCCACAACUUCAGUUUGUGUUUGUUUAGCAUCAAUGACUCUUUCAGAGAUGGGUUUCUCGGUCCCAUAGCAGUUUCAGCUGUUCUGAAGACCACAACACUUGUACAGUCAUGGUGAUAGUCCAAGCAAGUAAAGCAGAGAGGCCCUUCUUCUCAGUCUAAAAGAAAUGGGUACCUUAAUCUCUGACCAUUUCCCUCAUUAAAUCUGGUUUGGUGUUAAAUUAGCUUUGCUAUGGCAGCUAUCUGUCGCUGAAAAGCACAGUCCCACUUCUCUCUCUGUGCUGAAGUUUCUUGCACCUUUUCUUGUACCAGGAGCAAUGGUUGUCUGGCCUGGCAGUCAGCCAGUGGAGAGAGAGCCAAACCGGAGGAAAACUAAUUCUAUCGAGAAAAUGAAUUUUUUUUUUCUGCCAUUCUCAUUCCCUGAUCCAGCCUGGGGAGAGGUCAGGAAACUUGUAUCCCGGGCAGCAGAUCCAACCUUUUGGGCAACAAUUCUCCAUAAAACUAUGCUCAGCAGUAGAUUAAGAUUGAACCUCAAAUGUCUGACUUUCUAAAUUGCUUUAUUCUCUUUUGUAUUUUCAGGUACGGUUGUUAACCUGAUUUUAAAAGGAAAUUCAGAUCACAAACAAUAGACUUUUAUUUAAACAUUGAUUUACUUCGAAAAAAAAAAUUCAUAAGAUUUGUCCUCCACUUAAACAAAGUUUGAGGUUGCAAAAAGCCCUUGGUUAUGCUUCUAUUUGUUUCACUUUUCACACUCUUCUCCACUUCCUUCUUUGGCUGGAAUACUUCCAGCCCCAUCAGAACCUGGAAGUGCCAGAAAUAAACCAGAGGCACCCAUUUCUGCGAAGCCUGAGUCUUCUUGUGCUGUAGGUCCUAGGCCAGGAUUUGGAAAAUCUGGAUUCAAUUUUCUGCUUUGUCACUCAUUUGCAGUUUAACAUUGGGUACGUUAUUUAGUAAUUUCAGUCUAUGCCUCAGACUCCCAUCUAUGAAACAGCUGAUAUCUCUUUACCUCAAAGAAGCGCAAUAAGUUCAUUUGUAGUUCUGCAAUGUUCUGAUGCUGUGCUGCUUGGAGCCAUUUUCAAGCACAGACGCUCUUUCAGAACAACAACGAAGUGCUGUUGCAUUUGAAUAAACACAGGAUUUGUUUUUGUUUCUCAGAUCAUUAUUUUUAUCUUGUUUUAACCUGCUGGAGAACAAGCUGUUGUGUUUGUUUCUGGAGACACAUAUUAUUCCAGCCCUAAGCAGCUCUGUGUGUAUCUACUGUGGCAGUGUCAUGCCUGGCCGGCUCACCUGGAAUCCAAUGUACUAGACAGACUAUCUUCUCUGGGCCUGAAGUUACUGAAGAUUUAUUAAACUAUUUUCAUUAAAUGUUUUUUUUUUUUCUUUUAAGACCUAAAGGUUGGCAAAUCCUGAACAAUUAGCAUAGUUGUGCUUUUAUCUAAUAGUGUGAUUUACUGGGCAGUGCAUGUAUAUACUAUAUGUCUAGCUCCAUAUUUAAGCAGGGAAGGAAGGACUUAGAGAUCCUGAUUCUGUAAAUCAACUUAACAUCUCACAUACUCAGUUUCUGAUGACCCACUCUGACUCUUUUGCACAUUCAGAACUGUAUUCCCAGAUGCACAAGAGGAUGGUGCAUUUCAAAAAUGGCAUAUAAACAACUGUAUCUGAAGGGUAGCUACAUGUCUAAUCAACCUUGGAUCCAGUUAAUGAUCUGAAGAUUAUGCUUGUUAGGCUGGGAAAUGGUGGAUCAAGUCACUUGCUAGUUUUAAUGAAGGAUUUUUACUCUCUAGAUAUUUUAUUUCUAAAAAUGAAUAACGUAAGUGUAGCACAGAGAAAGGUGUUGAUGGGGAUUCUUCGAUGCUACAACAGUCCUCAGCUAUUACAUUAAGACCACAUCAAACCCCGCGGUCCUUCUUCAGUCAAAAUGUAGGAGGCAAUGAUGUAGCUUAUCAUAUCAUUACAGAUAGUAGGUAUGAAUAACACAUUAUUAACACGUUACCCCUUUUCAUGAGUUAGCACCUUGAAUAUACUGCAAGACUUUGAGUCUAAUUUUUGGAGGGGCUAAGUAAGUACAAAAAUUAAAAUAUUUAAUCCUGGAAUUAGUGUAUGUGCCAUUAGUUAGAAACGCAAACCAUACAAACAAAACUAUUUGCAGCAAACUACUCAAAAAGAUACAUUGCAAAGGAAAUACUUGCAAGUAAUUAGAUUCCCGGGAAAAUUUUCAUCACAGCUGCCUCAGCAGCUGUCAGAUGCCAGCUCACAGAAGACAAAUAUUAAAGUCUAUGUAAACAUAACUAAGUAAUGGUUUAUGUAUUGGAUUCUCCAUUGUUCUUAACAGACCGGACUUUUAAAAUAAUUCUUCAGCAAAUAACUAAACUAUUUAUUAAGUAGCCACUGUACUAACUGAAAGACAGUUAUUUGUAUUUGCCAUUACACAAUGAGUAAGCUGGCUUUUGAAUCAUAGCUAUGUACCUAUGUCACUCUGUUACCAUGACACAGAUACUAUGCUAUUCUAUUUUAAUUUUUUCAUAGUAUUAGCUGCUUUUAUAUUAAGUGGUCUACAAUAAAAAAAAAUCUGUAUGCACUUGUGAGUUUAGAUAGAAAGACUGAAGUUGAACUAAAAGGAAUUUUCAUUGCAGUAGGCUUUAAGAAUAAAUGAAAGAUUACUUUGAACUUGAAGCCCACUGAAUAUCCAAAUUUAAAGUGUUUUCUCUUGGAGAUGCAAAAACUGGAAUAAUUGCUAGCUACUUCAGAAGUACAGAGAAAUCCAGAAACUAAGUUGGAAUAAGAUGCUGUAGCUUUCAGUACUUGGCACAUUAUUGUUCUUGGAUGAAUGUUUGCCAAAGGCAGGUAUAGUUAUUGAUUACUGUGGUGUUGUGACAUUGCAUACAAUUGACACAAGGCUUUAGAAAACAUAUGCAAGCUGGUUUGGGGUAGGAUUGGAUAUGUUACGUAGGCACAGUUUUCUGAACUCCUCUUCAAGGAGUUAAAAGUUAGUUGCAUGGUUUUAAAGAGCUUAUCUGAGUAAGUUCACGUCUUGGAGUCCUUACCUGGUGAACUGUGUAUUUGAUUUUAAUAGGCUGGUUCCAUUUUAAAGGACUGAUAGAAAUGAGACCUGUGUCUAUAUGGUUGUGUAGAAUCUGAUUUAUGAAAAUGUAGGAUUUUAUGCUAAACAAGAGUUUCUGUGGGUAACAUACAAAUGUUCUUUGCACUAAUCAUAAUUUCAAAAUCUUAUUGUAAAGCUGUUUUGAGGGAUUGGGAUAGGAGGUGGUUCUGGUGUUUGAGGGUUCUUCUCAUGUUGGAGUAGUUCUCUCUCCUUUCAGCUUGUGAGUAGGAUGCUCCUGAGCCUAUAAAAGCUAGGACUCUGCUAAACACUCCCUGCUUUACAAUCUGUCUAGAGAACUAGAGAUUGGGAGUGUCUAGUGACCUCUUACCUCUUAGCACUUUAACAACUGGUGGCUGAGUGUAUGGGUACAGGCCUUGGUUAACUGCAUAAAUGCUAUAGGGGGAGACAACUCAUGAUCCUGAGGUCUUGGCACUUCUCAGUGAGUGAGUGAUUCUUAAAUUAACCAGCAAGUGCAAUGAGGAAUAAGCCACCAGGUCUGCUGUACCGUGCCAUUGGCAGAAGAUAAAUACAAUUGCACAAGCACAAUUGUUUUUUGCGGUGCUUCAUUAUAUUCAGUUUCUUCUUUCCAGCUAUUAGAUACCAGCUGUGUCCCCUUGCACAACUGUGCUCAAGUAUGACAUCAAAAUAAUCUAAUUAAAAUAACACUCAUGGUUUACCUGUAAGGGACUUGAGCAGAGUGGAAUAGUUCUAGUCUUAGUUUAAAAGAUGUCAGCUCUGUGUACAUACCCCAGCCUGUUAGCUAAACUCCACUGCCUUCUAACCUGUACAGAGUUGAGCACCUUCAUUUUUAAUGACAGGUGCUUUAAUAAUUUUGAAAACAUGUAUGAAGUUUCAUUUUUGGAAUUUAUUUGUUAUUCCAUACACUGUGAUAGGUAGGUGAGGAAGAAUUACAAAAACUCCAUGUGCAGAAAGAAUGAUUUGAUGAAUCCUGAAGAACAUGGAAUCUGUUUCCACAACUUCGUUAUUGCAUUAACUGUUGCUAGGACAUGACUGAUUCAGGCAUCAUAAAACUGUGUAGAACAGCUUCUACUUUUUUUGAAGGAUUCUUGUACAAAAAAGGCAGUUAAAAUAGAUAAAGAAUGGUAUUUUAUAACAAUUAUAUUACUGAUGCAAUCUGAAUGUUUCAUCUUGAAAUUAUUUAUAUACUUGCAUAAUGUUCUGGAUGAAUUUUAAGAAUUCUUCACCAGUUUUCAGAAAUGUCACUACAUUGAUUUGGCAGAGAAGAUCACACUACAGUCUAGUUGUGGAUCUCACAAGGGAGCAUAGAGGGAAUGCAGAGAAGAAAUGUGAUGUUUCUGUUUUCUUAGCCAGGCAUUUCUGAAUUCCACAAAGUGCUCCUGUGUGGCCCUUCUCAGAUGUUUAAGAAUUAACAUUAACAAGAAAAUAACCAGAACAGACCAGUGGCCUACAAGUGGAAAUUCCACUGCCUCAAAAUCUGUAAGUUAAAAUAAGGGAGAAGCAGAUGAGAUCAUUUUGUGAAAGAAGAGACAGAUAAUGAAUAUGUGUCUUUGCAUUUGGUGCCCUAAUAACUGACAAUAAUGAUGAAUUUGGAUGUUAACUUUCGGGAAUGUCACAUGUGAGAAGGCACAUUUCUAAGGCACCAAGGAAGUCAUUUAGCAGUCAAGCAAAAUCAGAAGGCGUUAUGUCAUUGUUCCUCAUGACAGAAAUCAGAAGUGACCAAAAAUCUGUUUUUUCAGUGUGAAAAACAAGAACUUGGUCUUAUGUACAAAAUGACAACUCCUAGGAAGAGACCUAGCAGGGAGAGUGCUUUUUCUAUGGCUGAGUCCUUCAGCCUUGGAAAACCACAUAAUUGCCAAAUCCAGCUCCGAGGCACCCCCUGGCCAGGCCGUGGUGCUGUGUCGGGGGUGGCCACCUUUGGAGGUUUGGCUUCCCCACCGAGCGAGGGGGUGCUGUGCUUUUGCUACUGCUUCUCUUUCUGCUCACCCCCCGCCUCACAGGAGCCUCUCACUGCUGCAUGGGGGGAUUUCAAACAUUGUUGGGCAAAUCUUCUCUUUUUUUGGAUGGUUGGACUCUUCAAUGUUUUUGAGGGAGGAGGGCCUGGUUUCUUUGUGCUGGGGGUCUACACAAGUUCUUGACCUGGUGGGAUAUUUAGGGCCAGGGGUUGUGAGGGUGCAUCCUCAGUGAAUCCUUCCCACUUCAUCCUUUUGGAAAUGGUGCCUGUUGGUGGAUUUCCAACUUUCUGACCCUUUGAAAAUUUGUACUUGUUGGGGACAGUGGUCACACUGCUAUCCCAGGUGUGGCUGGGUCUCACAGGGCACAGGCCUAUAAUAUCUGGUUUAUUGGCAAUUGCCACCUGUCACAACAAGCUUUCCUCGUUUUGACCACCUUGGGGCACAGCAGAAGCUGCCGCUUUUAUUCACAGUGGUCAGAAAGAACAAGGCUGAACUGUUA